GACUUCCGUAUGAAACUUUUCUCACAUUCCAAGCACUUAUGGGGUCUCUCUCCUGUAUGGAUUGCCUGAUGUUUAACAAGGCUUGACCUGUGUAUGAAAUUUUUUCCACAGCGCAAGCAUUUGUGGGAUCUCUUUCCUGUGUGGACUGCCUGAUGAUUAACAAGCUUUGACCUCCGUAUGAAACUUUUCCCACAUUCCAAGCACUUGUGGGGUCUCUCUCCUGUGUGGAUCCCGUGAUGAUUAACAAGGUCUGAUCUUCGCUUGAAACUUUUCCCACAGUUCAAGCAUUUAUGAGGGCUUUCUUCUGUAUGGACUACCUGAUGACUAAAAAGGUUGGACCUGUA